UACAGCUGUCAAGCCUGAACCGCUUGUGCGUCCCAGAAUAAAGUUCUACACUGCCUUUAUUUUGUCAAGACUGAUACACAAAGAUACCGUCGUUGGUAGCGUUCCGAAGAGAUACGGUGUGAUGAAGGCCAGGCGUAUGGCAGACCAAAGCUUGCCAUGGAACGGCCAAAAUCUUAGGAGCAAAAUCCAGGAGGCCAAGGCUUUCAUAGAUAGAUCGCUGAAAGAGCACGCACUGGCUAGUGCUGAGCGCAAUACCUUGUUCUUUCGUAAGUUAAGUGCACUUAACGACGGAACAAUCGCCUGCAUGAACGAAAACAUGCACAGAGAGAUUGAAAAGCACCUUGCUUGCUUGUAGCGGGGCAGGUAGCGCGUGCGCUCUGGCGCGCGGGAUCAGAAAACCAUGGCGUUGAGACUUUGACAAAUCAAAGCAGACAGUCUUUAUUAUAUAUUACACUGCCCUAAAACGGUUUUGGUUGACCAUUACAAGCAUUACAGUACAUAGAUAAUUGUUUUACA